rnacentral:tRNA from 1 species
GGGGAUGUAGCUCAGUGGCACAGUGCCUGCCUAGCAAGCAGAAGGCCCUGAGUCCGAUUCCCAGCACCA